UACGUAGGGGGCUAGCGUUUGUCCGGAAUCAUUGGGCGUAAAGCGCGUGUAGGUGGUCCGGUAAGUCCGCUGUGAAAGUCGGGGGCUCAACCCUCGGAUGCCGGUGGAUACUGUCGGGCUUGAGUGCGGAAGAGGCGAGUGGAAUUCCUGGUGUAGCGGUGAAAUGCGCAGAUAUCAGGAGGAACACCAAUUGCGAAGGCAGCUCGCUGGGACGUUACUGACGCUGAGACGCGAAAGCGUGGGGAGCAAACAGG
rnacentral:rRNA from 1 species